rnacentral:rRNA from 1 species
AGCACGUAGGUGGGUUUGUAAGUCAGAUGUGAAAGCCUUCUGUUCAACGGAAGAAUUGCAUCUGAAACUACAAACCUUGAGUAUAGGAGGGGAGAAUGGAACUUCUGGUGGAGCGGUGAAAUGCGUAGAUAUCAGAAGGAACGCCGGCGGCGAAAGCGAUUCUCUGGCCUAUUACUGACACUCAGUGUGCGAGAGCUAGGGGAGCAAACGGGAUUAGAUACCCCGGUAGUCCUAGCCGUAAACGAUGGGCACUAAGUAGAGGGGUUUU